rnacentral:rRNA from 1 species
CUACGGAGGAUCCGAGCGUUAUCCGGAUUUACUGGGUUUAAAGGGUGCGUAGGCGGUUUGCUAAGCGGGAGGUGAAAUGCCGGCGCUCAACGUCGGAAGUGCCUCCCGAACUGGUGGACUUGAAUGACUCUGCCGUGGGAGGAAUGUGUAGUGUAGCGGUGAAAUGCUUAGAGAUUACACAGAACACCGAUUGCGAAGGCAUCUCACGAAGGGUUGAUUGACGCUGAGGCACGAAAGCGUGGGAUCAAACAGGAUUAGAUACCCUGGUAGUCCACGCAGUAAACGAUGAUGGCUAACCGCUGGGCUUAUCAGUUCAGUGGCCAAGCGAAAGCGAUAAGCCAUCCACCUGGGGAGUACGACCGCAAGGUUGAAACUCAAAGGAAUUGACGGGG